ensembl:snRNA U2 U2 spliceosomal RNA
AUCGCUUCUCGGCCUUUUGGCUCAGAUCAAGUGUAGUAUCUGUUCUUAUCAGUUUAAUAUCUGAUACGUCCCCCAUAGGGGGACUACAUAUUAAAUGGAUUUUUCGAACAGGGAGUCGGAAAUGGGGCUUGCUCCGUCCGCUCCACGCAUCGACCCGGUAUUGCAGUACCUCCGGGAACGGUGCAAACACU